UUAAAAUUGUCUGAUUUGGGGAUUAUGCUGUUGUCUUUUUUUCACAGGAUGCUGAAGGAAAUGAAAUAUCACGUGCAGGAGCACAUAUCAGGUUGGGAAGACAUGUUUCCACUUGGGGGAGGACACUUGCAUUUGAAGCUGCAAGU